rnacentral:rRNA from 1 species
GACGAACGCUGGCGGCGUGCUUAACACAUGCAAGUCGAGCGGUAACAGGCGUAGCAAUACGUGCUGACGAGCGGCGAACGGGUGCGUAAUACAUGGGAAUCUGCCCUUUGGUGGGGAAUAACCCGGCGAAAGCCGGGCUAAUGCCGCAUGAGAUCUUCGGAUGAAAGCGGGGGAUCGUAAGACCUCGCGCCGAUGGAUGAGCCCAUGUCGGAUUAGCUAGUUGGUGAGGUAACGGCUCACCAAGGCGACGAUCCGUAGCUGGUCUGAGAGGACGGACAGCCAAACUGGGACUGAGACACGGCCCAGACUCCUACGGGAGGCAGCAGUGGGGAAUAUUGGACAAUGGGCGAAAGCCUGAUCCAGCGACGCCGCGUGUGUGAAGAAGGCCUGCGGGUUGUAAAGCACUUUCGAUGGGAACGAAAUGUGCCGGGUUAACACCCCGGCAAGCUGACGUUACUCAAUGAAGAAGCACCGGCUAACUCUGUGCCAGCCGCCGCGGUAAUAC